rnacentral:rRNA from 1 species
AACGAACGCUGGCGGCAGGCUUAACACAUGCAAGUCGAACGGGCCCUUCGGGGUCAGUGGCAGACGGGUGAGUAACGCGUGGGAACGUGCCCUUCAGUUUGGGAUAACCCAGGGAAACUUGGGCUAAUACCGGAUACGUGCGAGAGCAGAAAGAUUUAUCGCUGAAGGAUCGGCCCGCGUCUGAUUAGCUGGUUGGUAGGGUAAUGGCCUACCAAGGCGACGAUCAGUAGCUGGUCUGAGAGGAUGAUCAGCCACAUUGGGACGGAGACAAGGCCCAAACUCCUACGGGAGGCAGCAGUGGGGAAUAUUGGACAAUGGGCGCAAGCCUGAUCCAGCCAUGCCGCGUGAGUGAUGAAGGCCUUAGGGUUGUAAAGCUCUUUCAGUGGGGACGAUAAUGACGGUACCCGCAGAAGAAGCCCCGGCUAACUUCGUGCCAGCCGCCGCGGUAA